CCUACGGGUGGCAGCAGUGAGGAAUAUUGGUCAAUGGGCGAGAGCCUGAACCAGCCAAGUCGCGUGAGGGAAGACGGUCCUAUGGAUUGUAAACCUCUUUUGCCGGGGAGCAAAAAGCGGUACGUGUACCGCAUCGAGAGUACCCUGAGCAAAAGCAUCGGCUAACUCCGUGCCAGCAGCCGCGGUAAUACGUAGGGGGCGAGCGUUAUCCGGAUUCACUGGGGGUAAAGGGAUCGUAGACGGCCAUGCAAGCCAGGGGGGAAAGCCCGGGGCCCAACCCGGGGACGGCCAUUGUAACUGUGCGGCUAGAGUGCGGGAGGGGCAGGCGGAAUUCCUGGUGUAGCGGUGAAAUGCGUAGAUAUCAGGAGGAACACCGGCGGCGAAGGCGGCCUGCUGGACUGCGACUGACGUUGAGGCUCGAAAGCGUGGGGAGCGAACAGGAUUAGAUACCCGUGUAGUC
rnacentral:rRNA from 1 species